ACCUCCGUAGCUCAGUUGGCAGAAGUGAUUGGACCGAUGUUCCAAUGGUCGCAAGUUCGAGUCUUGCCGGAGGUG